CCCAUGGAAUGCCGACAUCCCCUGGUGCCCCACAAUGCUGGCCUUUCACAGCACCAUAGCCACAGCCCAGAGAAGCCCUGCUUUUGUCCCUGGAGGUGAAGCCACCGGGCUGACUUGGGCACGGAGAAGAGAGAAGCAGAUCAGGGUACAAGACACUGCACGGGAUGCACUGCCAAGCUGACGACAGAAAUGACUCGCGCUGAAGACUUCUGGAAA